rnacentral:misc_RNA from 1 species
AAAGUCGUAACAAGGUUUCCGUAGGUGAACCUGCGGAAGGAUCAUUAACGAGUUUGAAAAGAGUUGUAGCUGGCCUUCUGAGGUAAUGUGCACACUCUGCUCAUCCACACACACCUGUGCACAUCGAUAGUCUUUUUUUUUUUGAAGGGGGGAAACUAGCCCUUUGGGUGAAAGUCCACCCUCCUUAGAAAAAGCUAUUUUUACACAUACACUUUUAGUUAAGAAUGUAUCUAUUGCUAUUAAAACGCAUUAAAUAUAACUUUCAACAACGGAUCUCUUGGCUCUC